rnacentral:rRNA from 1 species
AGAGUUUGAUCAUGGCUCAGAUUGAACGCUGGCGGCAGGCCUAACACAUGCAAGUCGAGCGGUAGCACAAGAGAGCUUGCUCUCUGGGUGACGAGCGGCGGACGGGUGAGUAAUGUCUGGGAAACUGCCUGAUGGAGGGGGAUAACUACUGGAAACGGUAGCUAAUACCGCAUAACGUCUUCGGACCAAAGUGGGGGACCUUCGGGCCUCACGCCAUCAGAUGUGCCCAGAUGGGAUUAGCUAGUAGGUGGGGUAAUGGCUCACCUAGGCGACGAUCCCUAGCUGGUCUGAGAGGAUGACCAGCCACACUGGAACUGAGACACGGUCCAGACUCCUACGGGAGGCAGCAGUGGGGAAUAUUGCACAAUGGGCGCAAGCCUGAUGCAGCCAUGCCGCGUGUGUGAAGAAGGCCUUCGGGUUGUAAAGCACUUUCAGCGAGGAGGAAGGGUAGUGUGUUAAUAGCACACUGCAUUGACGUUACUCGCAGAAGAAGCACCGGCUAACUCCGUGCCAGCAGCCGCGGUAAUACGGAGGGUGCAAGCGUUAAUCGGAAUUACUGGGCGUAAAGCGCACGCAGGCGGUUUGUUAAGUCAGAUGUGAAAUCCCCGCGCUUAACGUGGGAACUGCAUUUGAAACUGGCAAGCUAGAGUCUUGUAGAGGGGGGUAGAAUUCCAGGUGUAGCGGUGAAAUGCGUAGAGAUCUGGAGGAAUACCGGUGGCGAAGGCGGCCCCCUGGACAAAGACUGACGCUCAGGUGCGAAAGCGUGGGGAGCAAACAGGAUUAGAUACCCCGGUAGUCCAA